UCUGGCCUCAGAUCUUCAAUGUUUUGGCAUAGAUGAUAUUAAAGGAGAGUGAUUUACAUUUUAUUCCAGGGAUAAUUAUUCUGGCCGCAGCUAUUGGAGAGAGUCGUGAUCAUAUCAAAGGUGCCGUGGUUAUUUUAUUGAAGCCGACUUGAUAUUGUGAAAUCGGGCCUUGAUAAAUAUUGCGAUUAUUAAAGUCGUGGCAAUGUGUUUGCCUUAGCGUAUCGCAGAUAUUAAAUAAAAGAGCUGAUAUAUUUCUGGCCACUGCAAAUAUUAUUGAGCUGGAGGCAUCUACGCUCCUCACGCAGGUGCUGGAGAUUCAGUAUAAUCUGGGCACGGUUCUUUCUGGCUUACCAGAAGAGUUUUCCUUUUUGCGCAUAGCUCCUGAUUCGGAGUGACAAUGAAUAGAGGGUGAAAAUAGAAUUCUAUUACCAAUUGGCGAAACAGUGCGGCUAACUCAUACUCAGUGAGUCAGCCGUGGAAUUCACAGAGGCUUAUCAAGGGAUAAUCUGCUGCAUGCUAUCGAACCAUUCAUCUGGAAUAUUGAUUUGCUGCUAUAAGAGGCCAGCUGAUUUGGAAUUAUUGUAUCAAUGUCCAAUCUGAUUUUAUUCAAUUAUUAAAUAAAGG